rnacentral:rRNA from 1 species
CCUACGGGGGGCAGCAGUGAGGAAUAUUGGUCAAUGGGCGAGAGCCUGAACCAGCCAAGUAGCGUGCAGGAUGACGGCCCUAUGGGUUGUAAACUGCUUUUAUGUGGGGAUAAAGUGCGUGACGUGUCAUGCAUUGCAGGUACCACAUGAAUAAGGACCGGCUAAUUCCGUGCCAGCAGCCGCGGUAAUACGGAAGGUCCGGGCGUUAUCCGGAUUUAUUGGGUUUAAAGGGAGCGUAGGCUGUCUAUUAAGCGUGUUGUGAAAUAUACCGGCUCAACCGGUGGCUUGCAGCGCGAACUGGUCGACUUGAGUAUGCAGGAAGUAGGCGGAAUUCAUGGUGUAGCGGUGAAAUGCUUAGAUAUCAUGACGAACUCCGAUUGCGCAGGCAGCUUACUGUAGCAUAA